AACGAACGCUGGCGGCAGGCUUAACACAUGCAAGUCGAGCGCCCCGCAAGGGGAGCGGCAGACGGGUGAGUAACGCGUGGGAACGUACCCUUUGCUACGGAAUAGCUCCGGGAAACUGGAAUUAAUACCGUAUGUGCCCUACGGGGGGAAGAUUUAUCGGCAAAGGAUCGGCCCGCGUUGGAUUAGCUAGUUGGUGGGGUAAUGGCCUACCAAGGCGACGAUCCAUAGCUGGUCUGAGAGGAUGAUCAGCCACAUUGGGACUGAGACACGGCCCAAACUCCUACGGGAGGCAGCAGUGGGGAAUAUUGGACAAUGGGCGCAAGCCUGAUCCAGCCAUGCCGCGUGAGUGAUGAAGGCCUUAGGGUUGUAAAGCUCUUUCACCGGAGAAGAUAAUGACGGUAUCCGGAGAAGAAGCCCCGGCUACCUUCGUGCCAGCCGCCGCGGUAAAAC
rnacentral:rRNA from 1 species